UCCGGUAGAGAGUGAACCAGCGGAGGGAUCAUUACCGAGUUUACAACUCCCAAACCCCUGUGAACAUACCACUUGUUGCCUCGGCGGAUCAGCCCGCUCCCGGUAAAACGGGACGGCCCGCCAGAGGACCCCUAAACUCUGUUUCUAUAUGUAACUUCUGAGUAAAACCAUAAAUAAAUCAAAACUUUCAACAACGGAUCUCUUGGUUCUGGCAUCGAUGAAGAACGCAGCAAAAUGCGAUAAGUAAUGUGAAUUGCAGAAUUCAGUGAAUCAUCGAAUCUUUGAACGCACAUUGCGCCCGCCAGUAUUCUGGCGGGCAUGCCUGUUCGAGCGUCAUUUCAACCCUCAAGCCCUCGGGUUUGGUGUUGGGGAUCGGCGAGCCUUUCUGGCAAGCCGGCCCCGAAAUCUAGUGGCGGUCUCGCUGCAGCCUCCAUUGCGUAGUAGUAAAACCCUCGCAACUGGAACGCGGCGCGGCCAAGCCGUUAAACCCCCAACUUCUGAAUGUUGACCUCGGAUCAGGUAGGAAUACCCGCUGAACUUAAGCAUAUCAAUAAGCGGAGGAAA
rnacentral:rRNA from 1 species